rnacentral:rRNA from 1 species
GAUGAACGCUGGCGGCGUGCUUAACACAUGCAAGUCGAACGGAAAGGCCCUGCUCUUGUUGGGUGCUCGAGUGGCGAACGGGUGAGUAAAACGUGAGUAACCUGCCCCUGACUUUGGGAUAACUUCAGGAAACUGGGGCUAAUACCGGAGAGGAGCUCCUGCUGCAUGGUGGUGGUUGGAAAGUGUCGGCGGUUUGGGAUGGACUCGCGGCUUAUCAGCUUGUUGGUGGGGUAGUGGCUGACCAGGGGUUCGACGGGUAGCCCGCAUGGGAGGGUAGACAGCGACCAGAGGCCUAAGGUACGGCGCAGUCGGCUACGGUAGGCAGUGGUGGGGAGUAUGGCACAGUGAGGCGAAGUGUGUGGUGAAGGCGCUGCGUGCGGAAUGACGGGUUUCGAGUUGUGAACCGCUUUGGCCUGAGACGAAGCGUGAGUGACGGUAAUGGGUAAAGAAGCACCGGCUAACUACGUG